UAGAGCUUUUAGCACUCAGGCUGCAACAACUGCAAGUGCUUCACAGCCUCCACCACCUCCUCCACCUCCAGAGAAAACCCAUUUUGGUGGCCUGAAAGAUGAGGACCGCAUCUUCACCAAUCUUUAUGGGUUGCAUGACCCAUUUCUUAAAGGUGCCAUGAAAAGGGGCGACUGGUACAGGACCAAAGACAUAGUACUCAAGGGUUCUGAUUGGAUUGUAAAUGAAAUGAAGAAAUCUGGUCUCCGUGGACGUGGUGGUGCCGGUUUUCCAUCUGGCCUCAAAUGGUCCUUCAUGCCAAAAGUAUCUGAUGGCCGUCCUUCCUAUCUUGUUGUCAAUGCUGAUGAAAGUGAACCUGGAACAUGUAAAGACAGAGAAAUAAUGCGGCAUGAUCCACACAAACUAUUAGAGGGCUGCUUGAUUGCUGGGGUUGGAAUGAGGGCUACUACCGCUUACAUCUACAUAAGGGGUGAAUAUGUGAAUGAACGUAAAAACCUUGAAAGGGCCAGGAAAGAAGCUUAUGAAGCUGGAUUACUGGGCAAGAAUGCAUGUGGAUCUGGUUAUGAUUUUGAUGUCCAUAUCCAUUAUGGUGCUGGUGCUUAUAUUUGUGGUGAGGAAACAGCACUUUUGGAGAGUCUUGAAGGGAAACAAGGGAAGCCGAGAUUGAAGCCUCCCUUCCCAGCUAAUGCAGGAUUAUAUGGUUGUCCCACCACUGUUACAAAUGUGGAAACUGUGGCUGUUUCACCCACCAUCUUAAGGCGUGGACCAGAGUGGUUUGCUGGUUUUGGAAGGAAGAACAAUGCUGGGACAAAAUUGUAUUGUGUUUCAGGUCAUGUGAACAAACCUUGCACUGUUGA
rnacentral:lncRNA from 1 species